AUUGAACGCUGGCGGCCGGCCUAACACAUGCAAGUCGAGCGAGCGGCGGACGGGUGAGUAAUAUAUGGGGACUGCCCGAUAGAGGGGGAUAACUACUGGAAACGGUAGCUAAUACCGCAUACUAUCUGCUAACCCAUAUGGGAUUAGCUAGUAGGUGAGGUAAUGGCUCACCUAGGCGACGCACCCUAGCUGGUCUGAGAGGAUGUUCAGGCACACGUCGAAUGUGCCUCAGCCACGACGCCGACGUAGGGGUGAAGGGAGAAUAUGGCAGUACGGGCGAGAGCCAGAUGCAGGCAUGGCGCGUGGAGGAAGAGGGACCUAGGGUUGUAAAGCACUUACAGUCGGGAGGGGUUAGCGACAGAAGAUGCACCUGCUGAUUCUGUGCCAGCAGCCGCGGUAAUAC
rnacentral:rRNA from 1 species